rnacentral:RNase_P_RNA from 1 species
UGGGUAGACAAGGCAAUCGCUCAUACUCUGUAUGAGAGGAAAGUCCGGACUCCUAACGAAACGGUACCUUGGAAGGUUAACACCAAUCAAGGGGGGCGAAAUCCCAUGGAUCAGUGCCGCAGAAAAUAACCGCCACAUACAUUGUAUGGGGUAAGGGUGAAAACGGGUGGUAAGAGCACCCGACAGUAUUGCAGUAAUGCAUACUGGGGGUAAACCCUACCGGGAGCAAGACAAAGUAGGUACGUGUCGGCCUUCGUUCUGGUUAAACGUACGGGUAUGUCGCAUAGAUAAAUGGUUGCCACUUUCAUUGAAAGCACAGAAUCCGGCUUAUCGUCUACCCAUUCU